GAACGGCAGCGCGGGGCAACCUGGCGGCGAGUGGCGAACGGGUGAGUACUAUAUCGGAACGUACCCUGGAGUGGGGGAUAACGUAGCGAAAGUUACGCUAAUACCGCAUACGAUCUAAGGAUGAAAGUGGGGGCUUCGCAAGAACCUCAUGCUCCUGGAGCGGCCGAUAUCUGAUUAGCUAGUUGGUAGGGUAAAAGCCUACCAAGGCUUCGAUCAGUAGCUGGUCUGAGAGGACGACCAGCCACACUGGAACUGAGACACGGUCCAGACUCCUACGGGAGGCAGCAGUGGGGAAUUUUGGACAAUGGGCGCAAGCCUGAUCCAGCAAUGCCGCGUGAGUGAAGAAGGCCUUCGGGUUGUAAAGCUCUUUUGUCAGGGAAGAAACGGUGAGAGCUAAUAUCUCUUGCUAAUGACGGUACCUGAAGAAUAAGCACCGGCUAACUACGUGCCAGCAGCCGCGGUAAUACGUAGGGUGCAAGCGUUAAUCGGAAUUACUGGGCGUAAAGCGUGCGCAGGCGGUUUUGUAAGUUUGUCGUGAAAGCCCCGGGCUCAACCUGGGAAUUGCGAUGAAGACUGCAAGGCUUGAAUCUGGCAGAGGGGGGUAGAAUUCCACGU
rnacentral:rRNA from 1 species